CGGGUCUGCAUUAAAUAAAAUGCAGUUAAAACGGGAAUCCGGUGAUUCCAGCUGAUAGGAAAGUCCGGAGCAGUCCCCGCUGCUGUAAGCUCCAGUAGCUUUUGAUCCUUCAAAACCACUGCCUCGUAAGGGGCGGGAAGGUUGUCGGAAGUGGAGUAAGCCAGAAGACCUGCCGGUAUUGA
rnacentral:ncRNA from 1 species